UGUACCCUGGUAGUCCACGCUGUAAACGAUGUCGACUUGGAGGUUGUUCCCUUGAGGAGUGGCUUCCGGAGCUAACGCGUUAAGUCGACCGCCUGGGGAGUACGGCCGCAAGGUUAAAACUCAAAUGAAUUGACGGGGGCCCGCACAAGCGGUGGAGCAUGUGGUUUAAUUCGAUGCAACGCGAAGAACCUUACCUACUCUUGACAUCCAGAGAACUUAGCAGAGAUGCUUUGGUGCCUUCGGGAAUUUUGAGACAGGUGCUGCAUGGCUGUCGUCAGCUCGUGUUGUGAAAUGUUGGGUUAAGUCCCGCAACGAGCGCAACCCUUAUCCUUUGUUGCCAGCGGUUCGGCCGGGAACUCAAAGGAGACUGCCAGUGAUAAACUGGAGGAAGGUGGGGAUGACGUCAAGUCAUCAUGGCCCUUACGAGUAGGGCUACACACGUGCUACAAUGGCAUAUACAAAGAGAAGCGACCUCGCGAGAGCAAGCGGACCUCAUAAAGUAUGUCGUAGUCCGGAUUGGAGUCUGCAACUCGACUCCAUGAAGUCGGAAUCGCUAGUAAUCGUGGAUCAGAAUGCCACGGUGAAUACGUUCCCGGGCCUUGUACACACCGCCCGUCACACCAUGGGAGUGGGUUGCAACAAGAAGUAGGUAGCUAAC
rnacentral:rRNA from 1 species